CUCGAAUCCACCUCACGGGAACAAAAGAAAGCUGACCACAAACAUCUACCAGCAUCCCGUGGGUACAUGAUGGGAGGCAUCAGUGGGAGGAGUCCCGAAGGAGGACUCAGCUCAAGGCUUCCAGAAGGAAGAGGAACACAGGUGUCAUCACCUGACUGAGGUUCUGACCAAUGGAACACAGGUGGAAGUUGUUGGAGAAAACGCCUUAAAACGGGAACAGCUGCAAUAUCAGCUGCAAGACAUUCUUUUACCUUUCCACCUGCCUGGGACCUGGAUGUGGAACUGCAGUGUGCCUUGCAAACUUGAAGAGAACGACCUUGAUAAUGGAUGGUGAAGCAAGAAAGAGGAGCCUGAGGCUGAGCGCAGUGACUCACACCUGUAAUCCCAGCACUUUGGGAGGCUAAGGUGGGCAGAUUGCUUGAGCCCAGGAAUUUGAGACCAGCCUGGAUAACGUUUUGCCUUUUCUGGGAUGCUCCAGAACUCUAGGAGGACAAAAAAGCCCUUCAUGUCCAACAUUAGAGGAAGGCAGCAUCCUCCAAAGAAGAGUGACUCACCCUGACCAGCUGGCAGAGAAGCCCAAGGCCAGGCCCUGGGAUGUGGAGAGCCAGUCCCAGCCUGGUCUGGAAGGAGGCGUGCCAGGGUGGCAAUGAUGCAUCACCCACGUGGUUUACUGGCCUUGACUAACCUGACCAUGACUUAGCAAAGCUGUGAGGUUUCCCAGUCUGGGCCAAUAUGGGUGUGCGGGUAGAAUACAGCCAGCAUGGGGAGGCGAAGGCCUGAGCAGCAUGCCAAAACCGGGAACUUGUGGCCUCCUUCGCCAUCACCGCAGCCCCUCUCCACCCUUCCUCACAUCAGCCCCUGCUUCCCCGGUCAUUCCAGGGACGGGGGUCUCCAGUGCAGCCCACUCCUCGUCAUGGUAUUACUCCAGUACAACUCCAAUCUGACCUACAGUUUUGGUGUUUGGCAUGGCAGGGGCGUGAUCCCUACUACAUACAACCAGUGAGUCACAGACCUUUGGUCCAGUCUGUGGACUGGUCACUUCCUGUCCUUCAUAUGAGCUCCCACAGAACCCGGGUCCUGCUCCAGAGCCCAGGCGUUAGACAGGCCCUGGCCUUAACCCGGUUAUCUCAGAGGCAUCCCACAUGCGUCCAGGACACCUGGGAAGCUGGUGGUAGUGAGGAGUGAAGGGCAGUAGGGGGCCUCUGCUCUGGCCCCCUGGCUUCCUGCAAGCCAGGAAAAUAGGCCCCACUCACAGCCACUUCUCCCCUGCUGGCUAGCCUCAAAGAGAUCAUUAGAGGGACUUUGCUGCCCAUAACAACAAGGACCAUUGGUGAAAACAAGCAGCUCAGGGAAAUGGAUCAUGGAAAUCACAGAAACAGAGAUUUCUCUGUUCCCAUCCCCUAAGAUCACCAGUGCCCCUGCUCCUGACAAUUGGUCACCUCUCAGCCAACAUCUGAGCCUCUGGUGUCCCUUCCUUGUGACAGAGUUCAUGAUACUCAUGGGUUAUUUCAAUGCAUUGGGAAGUUAAUCUUUUUUUUUUUGAGAGAUGGGGUCUUGCCAUGUUGCCUAGGCUGUUCUCAAACUCGAGCUCAGGUGAUCUUUCCCACCUCGGCCUCCCAAAGUGCUGGGAUCACAGGUGAGAGCCACCACACCUGGCUGAGGAAGUUAGUCUUUAUAAUGAGACUAAACCUGCCUUCCUAUAUUUUUCAUCUUUUCAUGUGCUUAUUGGAUAUUUGCAUUUCAUUCAUGG
rnacentral:lncRNA from 1 species